UACGUAGGGUGCAAGCGUUAAUCGGAAUUACUGGGCGUAAAGCGUGCGCAGGCGGUUUUGUAAGACUGUCGUGAAAUCCCCGGGCUCAACCUGGGAAUGGCGAUGGUGACUGCAAGGCUAGAGUUUGGCAGGAGGGGGGUAGAAUUCCGACGUGUAGCAGUGAAAUGCGUAGAUAUGUGGAGGAACACCGAUGGCGAAGGCAGCCCCCUGGGUCAAAACUGACGCUCAUGCACGAAAGCGUGGGGAGCAAACAGG
rnacentral:rRNA from 1 species